rnacentral:rRNA from 1 species
CCCUUAGAUGUUCUGGGCCGCACGCGCGCUACACUGAUGCAUUCAACGAGCCUAUCCUUGACCGACAGGUCCGGGUAAUCUUUGAAUCUGCAUCGUGACGGGGAUAGAUUAUUGCAAUUAUUAAUCUUCAACGAGGAAUGCCUAGUAGGCGCAAGUCAUCAGCUUGCGUCGAUUACGUCCCUGCCCUUUGUACACACCGCCCGUCGCUCCUACCGAUUGGGUGGGCUGGUGAAAUGUUCGGAUCGGCCGUUUGUCGCGGUUUCCGCGUCAUGUGGCUGAGAAGUUCAUUAAACCCUCCCACCUAGAGGAAGGAGAAGUCGUAACA